GUCUAAACUAACCCUCAUGGUCUAUGGAGGCCAGUUCGAGAGCUGAGGGAGUAGAGUUCCUGGUGGAGGAAAUCAAUAUGGGAGUAUCCAGGGGCCACACAAAGAAGUCUAGCUCAAGGAAGUUGGAAACACUGGGGAGGACCGUGCAGAAAAACGAGUCACAAGACUGGAGCAGCUCAUCACCGCUUUUGGGAACACCUCUAAACUGACCUGCAGUCCUCUAACGGAUCCUUCCAUAAUCGUCUUCCAUGCUGAGAGCAAAGCGGUCCUGCUGGGCCGACUGGUACCAAGUUGGGUCCCUGACUGGUUUCCUUCAGUACUUCACAAUCCCUGGCAGCAUAAAUUUCCGUUUCCUCACAAGGCCACCUAAGCUCUUACAGGAGCUCAUGUAUAGGAAGGUUUAAAC